rnacentral:rRNA from 1 species
GACGAACGCUGGCGGCGUGCUUAACACAUGCAAGUCGAACGAAGUGGCGAACGGGUGAGUAACGCGUAAUCAACCUGCCCUUCAGAGGGGGACAACAGUUGGAACCGACUGCUAAUACCGCAUACAGAGGGAGGUGAUUGCGGCUGAUUGGCUAGUGGGGGGGGUAACGGCCCACCAAGGCGAUGAUCAGUAGCCGGUCUGAGAGGGUGAACCGCCAAAUUGGGACUGAGACACGGGCCAGACUCCUACGGGAGGCAGCAGUGGGGAAACUUCCGCAAUGGACGAAAGUCUGACGGAGCAACGGCGCGGGAGUGAUGACGGCCUUCGGGUUGGAAAGCUCUGUUAAUCGGGACGCGGUACCGGAAUAGAAAGCCACGGCUAACUACGUGCCAGCAGCCGCGGUAAUUC